rnacentral:rRNA from 1 species
UACGAAGGGGGCUAGCGUUGUUCGGAAUUACUGGGCGUAAAAGCGCACGUAGGUGGCGACGUAAGUCGGGUGUGAAAGCCCCGGGCUCAACCUGGGAAUUGCAUUCGAGACUGCAUUGCUGGAGUACGGAAGAGGAAGGCGGAAUUCCCGGUGUAGCGGUGAAAUGCGUAGAUAUCGGGAGGAACAUCAGUGGCGAAAGGCGGCCUUCUGGUCCAGUACUGACACUCAAGUGCGAAAGCGUGGGGAGCAAACAGG